UACAGAGGGUGCAAGCGUUGUUCGGAAUUAUUGGGCGUAAAGGGCGCGUAGGCGGUGCGGUAAGUCUGUAGUGAAAUCUCUGGGCUCAACUCAGAGUCUGCUAUAGAAACUGCCGUGCUUGAGUGUGGGAGAGGUGAGUGGAAUUUCCGGUGUAGCGGUGAAAUGCGUAGAUAUCGGGAGGAACACCUGUGGCGAAAGCGGCUCACUGGACCACAACUGACGCUGAGGCGCGAAAGCUAGGGGAGCAAACAGG
rnacentral:rRNA from 1 species